rnacentral:rRNA from 2 species
CAUUAAUCAGUUAUCGUUUAUUUGAUAGUACCUUUACCUGGAUAACCGUGGUAAUUCUAGAGCUAAUACAUGCUAAAAACCUCGACUUCGGAAGGGGUGUAUUUAUUAGAUAAAAAACCAAUGCCCUUCGGGGCUCCUUGGUGAAUCAUAAUAACUUCACGAAUCGCAUGGCCUUGCGCCGGCGAUGGUUCAUUCAAAUUUCUGCCCUAUCAACUUUCGAUGGUAAGAUAGAGGCUUACCAUGGUCUUAACGGGUAACGGGGAAUUAGGGUUCUAUUCCGGAGAGGGAGCCUGAGAAACGGCUACCACAUCCAAGGAAGGCAGCAGGCGCGCAAAUUACCCAAUCCCGACACGGGGAGGUAGUGACAAUAAAUACUGAUACGGGGCUCUUUUGGGUCUCGUAAUUGGAAUGAGUACAAUCUAAAUCCCUUAACGAGGAACAAUUGGAGGGCAAGUCUGGUGCCAGCAGCCGCGGUAAUUCCAGCUCCAAUAGCGUAUAUUAAAGUUGUUGCCGUUAAAAAGCUCGUAGUUGAACCUUGGGCCGGGCUGACCUGUCCUCCUAAUCGAGCGCACGGGUUCGGUCUGGCCUUUCCUUCUGGGGAACCCCAUGUCCUUCACUGGGUGUGGUGGGGAACCAGGACUUUUACCUUGAAAAAAUUAGAGUGUUCAAAGCAGGCCUUUGCUCGAAUACAUUAGCAUGGAAUAAUAGAAUAGGACAUCGGUUCUAUUUUGUUGGUUUCUAGGACCGCCGUAAU